AACGAACGCUGGCGGCAUGCCUAACACAUGCAAGUCGAACGAGACCUUCGGGUCUAGUGGCGCACGGGUUCGUAACGCGUGGGAACCUGCCCUUAGGGUCGGAAUAACUCCCCGAAAGGGGUGCUAAUACCGGAUAAUGUCUUCGGACCAAAGAUUUAUCGCCCUUGGAUGGGCCCGGGUUGGAUUAGCUAGUUGGUAGGGUAAAAGCCUAACAAGGCGCCGAUCAAUAGCUUGUAUGAGAGGGUGAUCAGCCACACUGGGACUGAGACACGGCCCAGACACUGACGCUAGGACGCGGCCCAGACUCCUACGGAAUGCGGGAGUGGGGAACAGAGCAACGUGGCGGAAGGCCUGAUGGUGCAAUGCCCGGUAAGUGAUGUAAGCCUGAGAGUUGAAAAGCUCUUUUACCCGGGCUGAUAAUGACGGUACCGGGAGAAUAAGCUCCGGCUAACUCCGUG
rnacentral:rRNA from 1 species